UUUUGUUUAGUUCAGAAAAAGCCAUUUUUCUCUUUUAUACUUGACUGUUUCUUUCUGAUUAUUCCAAGGUUAUUACCUAGAUGGAAAAAUUAAUUUUCAUCUUUCUCCUUUCUCAGACUCUUAAUUGGGUAGAGUUGAAUUUAUUUGUGGAAAACUGUGUCUUUUAACAUUGGUUCUUAGAGUUUAUUUUCUUUUUUGGUUAUCAUUUUCUUUAAAUUUUCAGCUAAUAUUUUUAUUAUCUAAAAUUAAUAAAAUUCUUACCUUUUCAAUAUAUAAAGUAGAAUAAAAGCUGAUGGGAAAAGGUGAUAAAAUGCUCAACCUUUUUCUUUUUCUAUUUCUGGUGUUGGGGAUGAAACCCAAGGCUUUGCAUGUGGUCGGCAGGCACUCUAUCUCCGAGCUACAUCCCAGCCCUUUAUUUUAUAAAGUUGUAUGUUUGGGAUGGGGUCUUGCUGAGUUACCUAGGCUGGGCUUGGAUUUACAGUCCUCUUGCCUUGGUCUCUUGAGUAGCUGAGAUUACAGGUGUGCGCCAACACACUCAGCCUUAAAUUCUGAACUUUAAAUAUAUCUCUUCUUUGUAUUUUUGUUGCAUUUUCCUUUUUUAAAUUUGUAUCUAUUAUUUGCAGUUUGGACUUUGAUAUGUCAGUAGAUCAAGAAGAAAACAACAAUCUCUAAUUGCCUCUUGCCACCCAGCCCUGUGCAUCACAAAGCCAGAUUAACCUCAGAUGAAUGUGUAACUUGAACAGGAUUGGAAUUUAAGUGAUUGUGGCUACCUAGCAGCAAACUUAUUCAGUGCAGAGCCAGGUAACAGAUAUUUUAGGCUACAUGGGCUAAGAGACAGAAUUAAUAUUUUGUAGUUGUUUGUGUAUAUUUACAUAUUUAUACUAAGAAACAAUAAAUAUCCCCAGUUUUUAUUGCCAAAAUUCAAAACAUAAUAGUAAUUAGGGAGCACAAUAUUUUGUAAUAAAAGUGUAUGAGAAAACAGAAUUGUGUUUGGAGAGAAUUUUACUUAUUUGGGGUUCUAAGUGUUCACUGAUAAUCAGAAUUGUUUAUAAAUAUUAUCUGUUAAUGAUGAUAUUUAGUGAGAUUUUAAAUAUUUUAUAUGAAAUUAUUUUUUCACAAAGGUAUGUAUUGGCAAAUAUGAUUGUAGUACAUGAGCUUCUGAUUUCAAUUGAAUGUGUUUAGGAAAUUUUUAUAAAAUUCCAUUAUGUUAUUUUCUUGAUAUCUGUCUCUUGUUUUAUUAUAUUGCACAUAUACUUGAUCAUUUUCAGUUGAAGUGAAUUCUCAUUAAUUAUAGUUAAAUAGAUUGUGGAACAUGGAGAUUUCCUUUACACUUGCAUCAUAGUCAGAAAAAAAAUUGCAGGAACUGUGGCUUGAACUCAGAAAAGAAACUCCUAGAAGUGCAUGUGGCAGUUGAGAGUUUCUUGCUUUCUCUUUUGACAGCAUGGGAACUGUUUAGUACAGCUCGAUAUUACUUUGUGACAUUGGUGUAAGUUUUGCAUAUAAGCACCAUUUUGCCUUGUCAUUUAAAGUUGAAUUUAUGAAGAAACAUUAUUAAGUCUAUAACAUAAGUUAAUUUCCAAAGCCAUUUAGGGUUUGAUAAAAGUGAUUGAAAGAAAAUUUUGUCUUGAUCCUAAGUGUAAAAAACCACAACAAAGCUUUAUCAUUGUUAAUAUAUCACUGCUAUGUUUCAGGAAAAUCAGUGUAUUAUAAUUAAGCUUCUAUUUCUGUCAAAACUUUGUAAAAUGAACAAUAUACAAGUCCUUAUGGACAAAUGAAGUCUUACCGUUUGCACUGUUGGUUCGAACCACAUGAUAUGGUUAAGUAUUUUGCAGAGUGUUUGCUGAUAAAUAAUGGAAUGAGUAACUGUAGCCUUUAAAUUUUCAGUAGGCUUAUAUUUUUGCAUGCUUUGUAAAUUUAUUCAAGUAAGCUUCCUUUUGCUUUUUUUUUAAACCAACAUGAAAUGAAACAAAUCUUAGCAGAUUCCACAUAAUUUGUACCAAAUUACUGUUUUCUCAGUUUCCUUGAAAAAUUCUUAUGUUCUCUGUAAACGAUCUAUGUUAAUCAGCUGUUCAUUACUGGUAGAAUACCUGAGAAAAACUUUGGCUCAUGGCUUCAGAUGUCUCUGUCCAUGGUAGCCAGCUCCAUUGCUCUGUCCCUGAGAUGAGGCACAGCUUCUUGAUGGGGACCCUGUGUUGGAGGAAACUGCUCACCUCGUGGCAGCCAGUAAGAUGAAAGACAGAUAGAUAAAAUGGGGACAAUAUAUGGUCCCCAGGGGCAUACCUUCCAAGACCCACUUCCUCUAUAUGAAGUCCAUCUCCCAGUCAUCCAUUCAGCUGCGGAUCCCUCAGUGGAUUAAUUCAUUGACGAGUUCAGAGCCCUCAUGGUCCAGUCCUGAAGCUCCACCUAUGAACAUGACUGCAUCAAGGACCAAGCUUUCAACACAAGAGCCUUUGGGGGACAUUCCAAAUCUAAAUGAUCAUAGAGGCUAUUUUUUAAGUCACGUUCUUAACUUUUUGAGCAACUGUUUUGCUGAAAGACUAAUAGUUUUAAACUCAUUUGUUUUCCUUGGACACAUUCCUUUGGUUAUUGCAGUCAAUCAUGAUUUGGUUACCUCAUUGGUAAACAGUUUUAAUUUUGUGACUAACAUACUAUUGAGGAACACAUUUUUAUUUUUGAAAAGAAAUUCUUCUGGAAUGAGAUGUUCCACUUUGAGUGUUCUAAUUUUAUGACUGCUGGGUGCUUCAUCUGGAAAUGUCACACAUUGUGUUCUUUGAGCAUAGCUGUAGUGUCAUUAUAGCAUGAUAGUAACAGUGCAUUGCUCUUUAAUUCAGGAGAAUAGUCUCCACUGUGGAGUACCUAUACGGCUCCCAUGACAUACAGGUGGUGACCCCAGCAAGGAGGAUUGGCCACAGGUUCAGUGAUUGGGCACUUGUGCCGCAAGCUCAAGGCCUUGUGUUAGGUCUUCAGUGCUGCCAAAAAAAGAAUGAAAAUGUAGAAAAUAUGAAUGAAAUAAUAUCAUGACAGACAAAUGAAAAGAUGGUGUGAAAGAGGGAGUAUUGUAUAGUAUCCAACCCUUCAAGAAGUGUGUCAAUAAUUGGAUAAUAAAAACAGUUGUUUGUGUUUGUUAACUUGGAAAAGCCAUGGAUCACUAGAGCAAGAGUAAUUUUGGGAUGUGGUGGGAGGUUAGAAUGUAGAAACAUAGUGUGCAUGUAAUUCUCUCUUUCCAAAGUUUGAAGGCAAGUGCAGGUAAGGGAAUGGUAGCCGAGGAAUCUGGUUUCCAGCCAAACUUUUGUGACCAUGCAGACCCAAGCCAGAGGCAGUUGCACACAGUUCUGACUCAUACUUCUUCGCCUUGUGAUUUCUUGACUCUUGGGAUGGUCAAAAGCACCUCACAUAUGUAGGAACCAUACGCUGAACUUUGAGUAGACUGUUUCCCAGGUCAGCAGUCUGCUGUAGGAGACCCUCUCGCACCUGGGCUGUAGCAGUGAGCGGGCAGCGCCCAGUGAGCUGCAUGGUACUGUACGUUACCUGUAUUAAAAGCAUUUUUUUUUGGGGGGGGGUACUGAGGAUUGAACUCUGAGUCACUCGACCACUGAGCCACAUCCCCAGUCCUGUAUUUUAUUUAGAGACAGUGUCUUAAUGAGUUGCUUAGUGCUUCACUUUUGCUGAGGCUGGCUUUGAACUCACAAUUCUCCUGUCUUAGGCCUCCCAGAGCUGCUGGGAUUAUAGGCAUGCGCCAUCGUGUCCAGCUUAAGAGCGUUUUUGUCUAAUGAUGUUUCAAACUUAAAAUGGGCUUACAAGGAGAGAACCACACUGCACAUUCAUUGAAGCAUUCUGCAUGAGGUUCUGCCUGUCCCGUCUCAUAGGAUAAAGCUGCCCCUCCUCACACCAAACUACCAAGAGCACAGCUCGUGCUUUGCAGUUUUUACAGGGAGUUGCAGCCAUAGAAUGCCACACACUCCCACCUGUUUGCAUGCAUGUCUGCAUUCCUAAAUGUCUCCCCUCAAAGGCCGCCUCCUCUGGGGCUGAGGCACUUUUCUUUACUUUGAUUCAGUACUUUUCCAUUCCUGAUCUUUUCCCCUCAAAGGCAGGAGUGACCUGAGUCUUCCCACCCACUCCUGCCCUACACUGCAUCUACUUGACUAUUGCCCAGGUUGUUCUGAGAGGAAAAUGGAACAAGUGAGUGAAUAAAGGCAUGAUUGCUACUUCCACGUCAACUGGUUCUGCUUGUCCACCUUCACCCUGGACCACUUGAGUGUUUCUCAGUGGCUCUGGGGUUUGUUGGGGAAGGAACAGGUGGCUGAAGCAUUGAAGUCUUAGAGGUCUCCAGAGGAGCUAAUCCAGGGCCCAGGUGGUAGUGCUCGCCUUUGCAUCUUUUUCUUUGAGUAUUCUUGGAGUCUGCUGCCUACUGCUUUCACACUUUCCAUCCUCAAAGUAACUUACCCCCUGAAAUUUGAAUUCUAACAAUUCAUAAUAGUUAAUCAGACUGUUUACUUCUCUGCUUUGCGGGAUAAGAAUAUGAAUCCUUUUAGGGCAGGAAUGAACAUUUGUCCCUGUUCAUCAUUGCCCCCAGCGUAAUGUCAGGUUUGUUGUAGAUGCAAGCAUGUGAAUUAGUGGGUAAAGUAAUGGAGAAAUCAAUUUCAGUUUGGCAUUAUGGCAGACCAGAAUAUGCCACCCCAAAAUAGGAGAUGGUUGAGUUGAAGACAGUUCAGAGAACCCAGUGCAGGAAUAUUUUCUGUCCUUCCACUGCUUACCUUAAAGCAGGACCUGGGUUUACAAAGACCUACCAGGGAGAGCUCAGGUUCACCACUAGAGACAACUUUGGACCUUAUGGAUCUUAGAUGGUACCAGAGGAAUUGACUUAACAGACUCCAUCAGCUAGCCUUUAUCUGCCAUUUAUUUACCUCCUACCAAGUUGCCACCCCUAGAGCCUCCCAAGUCCUUUUCCUUUGUAUUGUCAGUUCUCUGUAAUUUACUGGUUUUUGAAGAUACUCUGUAAACUAGGAUUCAAAAUCAUCUCUUUGAGAACUACCUAUUCCUUGGGUGUCUUCCACAUAUGUGUGAAACCUAUAUGUUAAUAAACUUAUGUAUUUCUAUUGUUCAUGUUUCUUUUGUUACAGGAGUCCAUUUCAACUAAGAACCAGUAAACGUUAAAGAAAAAAAAAACAACGUUUUUUUUCCCCUUAUAACAUAAAGAAGAUAUUUUUAGACGAAACAGGACUGAAGCCAAAGCAAAGUCCCGCCUGCCCUAUGCGCAUGUUCCAGCUACACAUGCACAUCUACUAUUCCAAAGUUGUAGUUAAGGAAGAACUACUGUGUGACAGUAUAGCCAUGGGGGAAGUUGGAG